rnacentral:rRNA from 2 species
GUAGGUGGCAAGCGUUGUCCGGAUUUAUUGGCGUAAAGCGAGCGCAGGCGGUUUUUUAAGUCUGAUGUGAAAGCCUUCGGCUUAACCGGAGAAGUGCAUCGGAAACUGGGAGACUUGAGUGCAGAAGAGGACAGUGGAACUCCAUGUGUAGCGGUGGAAUGCGUAGAUAUAUGGAAGAACACCAGUGGCGAAGGCGGCUGUCUAGUCUGUAACUGACGCUGAGGCUCGAAAGCAUGGGUAGCGAACAGGAUUAGAUACCCUGGUAGUCCAUGCCGUAAACGAUGAGUGCUAAGUGUUGGAGGGUUUCCGCCCUUCAGUGCUGCAGCUAACGCAUUAAGCACUCCGCCUGGGGAGUACGACCGCAAGGUUGAAACUCAAAGGAAUUGACGGGGGCCCGCACAAGCGGUGGAGCAUGUGGUUUAAUUCGAAGCUACGCGAAGAACCUUACCAGGUCUUGACAUCUUCUGCCAAUCUUAGAGAUAAGACGUUCCCUUCGGGGACAGAAUGACAGGUGGUGCAUGGUUGUCGUCAGCUCGUGUCGUGAGAUGUUGGGUUAAGUCCCGCAACGAGCGCAACCCUUAUUAUCAGUUGCCAGCAUUCAGUUGGGCACUCUGGUGAGACUGCCGGUGACAAACCGGAGGAAGGUGGGGAUGACGUCAAAUCAUCAUGCCCCUUAUGACCUGGGCUACACACGUGCUACAAUGGACGGUACAACGAGUUGCGAAGUCGUGAGGCUAAGCUAAUCUCUUAAAGCCGUUCUCAGUUCGGAUUGUAGGCUGCAACUCGCCUACAUGAAGUUGGAAUCGCUAGUAAUCGCGG